GACGAACGCUGGCGGCGUGCUUAACACAUGCAAGUCGAACGGAAAGACCCUGCUUUUGUGGGGUGCUCGAGUGGCGAACGGGUGAGUAACACGUGAGUAACCUGCCCUUGACUUUGGGAUAACUUCAGGAAACUGGGGCUAAUACCGGAUAGGAGCUCCUGCUGCAUGGUGGGGGUUGGAAAGUUUCGGCGGUUGGGGAUGGACUCGCGGCUUAUCAGCUUGUUGGUGGGGUAGUGGCUUACCAAGGCUUUGACGGGUAGCCGGCCUGAGAGGGUGACCGGCCACAUUGGGACUGAGAUACGGCCCAGACUCCUACGGGAGGCAGCAGUGGGGAAUAUUGCACAAUGGGCGGAAGCCUGAUGCAGCAACGCCGCGUGCGGGAUGACGGCCUUCGGGUUGUAAACCGCUUUCGCCUGUGACGAAGCGUGAGUGACGGUAAUGGGUAAAGAAGCACCGGCUAACUACGAG
rnacentral:rRNA from 1 species